UACGUAGGGUGCAAGCGUUGUCCGGAAUUAUUGGGCGUAAAGAGCUCGUAGGCGGUCUGUCGCGUCUGCUGUGAAAAUUCGGGGCUCAACCCCGGACCUGCAGUGGGUACGGGCAGACUAGAGUGCGGUAGGGGAGACUGGAAUUCCUGGUGUAGCGGUGAAAUGCGCAGAUAUCAGGAGGAACACCGGUGGCGAAGGCGGGUCUCUGGGCCGUAACUGACGCUGAGGAGCGAAAGCAUGGGGAGCGAACAGG
rnacentral:rRNA from 1 species